GGAGGAGACUUUUUUAAAUGCAGAUUUUUUUCUUAAAGAGAAAAUUUGAAGAGAAUGCUUUGAGUAGAGGAUCCUUGUUUCCGCAGGAGUACCGCUUUCCCUGCAAAGAAAAACGAAGCGAUGACAUGAUGGAUCCAAUCCAACCAGUUUGCUCUGAGGUGCCUUCAAACUCUUCUUGAAAAACCACAAAGAAAAUUGCAAAAGUCUUGGUCAUCCCCAUCACGAAUACAUUUACCUAAAUCAAAGCAGACCAAAGAGUCCAAGUCAGGUGGCAGGGCUCUGCACAAGUGGUACUUCCUUCUCCCAAACGAACCCGGUUCCUAAAACUCCCGAAGAACGACCCUGUCCGGACAAUUUCAGCACGAGAGUCGGGUUUGGGCUCGGGCCGCGGAGACCCGCUCAGGAGGGAGUGUGCGGAGCCCCGGCGGGAUUUAAUUCCGGGUCAUUUCGCACCCACACCGGAGGCCCCGGGACAGGGCGUCCCCAAGACGCCCGGCCGGCGCUCGCAGCUUGCGCCCUCUGUCCCGUUCAAAUCCCCCAGCCGCGACCCCAGGACAGGCCUACGAGAAUACUACUCACGUGUCCUCCAAGUGCUGCUCUAAAGUUGCCUCCAUGCCGCCGUGAGUCGCCUUCUUCUUCGCCGCUGGUCUCGGGUGCCCCUCGGUCGUUCACAUGACGCGAGAGGGCCGUGGGCAGGAACGGUGCCUCCGAAGGGACAAAAUUCGUGGCGCAGCCUUCGCGUUGUGUCCAGGAUGACAUCUUUACGCGCCCGCCACCGCGAGCCGGGCGGAGGUUCUGCUGCCUGUGCAACAGGCGAGGGGACGGCGCGGAAUGCCGCCGUGGGAGGGAGGCCUGCGGUCGUCCCUCGGAGCCGGCCUCCUGGCCUGUCCCUCUGUCUCCUCCAUACAGACCUUUGGAUUACAAUUCCACCGACUCCAAGAAGUCGGGCCAGACCCUGUUGAAGUUUUACAACAACCCGGGCGGCCCGACGGGGUCUCAUCCAGGCGGUGGGGCAGAGAGAGACAAGAGAGACACAGGACCCCGGUGAAAGGCUUACAGGGGAAAAGACUGGACACAGGGACUAGAGGACGAGAUGGAACAAUGCUAAUAGCGUCUACGAACUUAGUGAAGUGUUACUGGUCCUUACUUCAGAGUAGAGAAUGUCCUGAAGACAAGAUGACCCAUCUAGUUCUGCACACCCUGCCAUGAAGAGCGGAGCGAGAAGAUUUUUUGUCGGCUGCCACCGUCUCUCUUGGAAUCUGAAUUUAGCUUCGGGAGCUUACCUAUUGUUACAACACUGAAUUACCCUCUUGUAAGACCUUGGACAAGUCCUCUAAUGCCUUGAUAUCUCAGAUUUUUUUCAGUUCUCCCUGAAGAUAAGAAUAGUAUCCACCUCAUGGCAGUGGUGAGGGAACUCCAUGAGACGAUGCAUGUGAAGCCCCUCACACAGUCUCUGGGGCCACCGCAGACAGUGAACAGGUGAGAGCUGUUGUCAUUGCCAGGACCUCAGGAAAUGAUAGCUGAGGCGAAGUUGAACUAGACUGUCAUUCAGGGCUCUUAGUUGCAAGCAACAGAAGCUGACUUUGGCUUAUAGAGUAGGAAAGGAAAUUUUAAAAUGACACUGGUAGCUCACGGUUACCCAAUUGUUGGGAGGGCUGGAGAGCUCAGUCUAAGCUUCCAGUGACAAAGGUCUAAGCCCACCAUGCCACCCCGCUACUGGUCUUGUGGCAGCCCACAACAGCGUGCGGCACCAAGGCCGUUACUGUGGCAGGAACCUAACCUUAUGCUUGCUACGCCCCGAAGCCAGACCCCCUCUGCUGCUGCCGUUGCCAGCAAAGUGGAAUUUUCCCAGAGCCUCUGAAUUGAAGUCUUGUGUGGGACAGGAGGACUCCCGGUGAUUUAUUAAGAAGGUGAAAUUAUGUGCCCGGUUGGGAACUCUGGGGAGCUCUUGCUGAAAUUGAGCGUUCUGGAGCCGGAUUUACAAGGCAGAAUGGACCUGGGACUGCUCCUUGUGGCAGAAGCUGCUGGGCCACUGUGGAUGGUCCUUCCCACAUUGCACGAUGUCCCCAGAGCCCUUGGAGCCAUGCUCAGCCCCAUCCUGGUAUCCCCCGUGUCCCUCGUGCCUCUGCCAUGGAGGUCCAACCGCUUUACUUGGCUGUGGGUCUCAUCAACUUGCAGGGGAAUCCAUCUAUCCCCCCUCCCAGCCUGGCUUGGCCCCCUACUCAUAAGCACUUACACAGUAUUUCACAAAGAAAAUGUCUGCUGGCUGUGUCCCAGACUCUUGAAUGUUAGCUCACAUUAGUCACGGCCACGGAUGCGGCUGGAAUCUUGCUGACCAGGUCCCCAAGGUCUCUGCUGGUCUGUACUCCCCAUGCUUGGGUUGGAGGCACUGCGGAGGGUUUGGAUGGUGAGUGUGGGCACCUCCCAGCUGCACCAUUUUCUGGCAUCCACCAGGCUGCCUCACGUCUACUCUAGACCCUCGGUCUCAGCAGGGGAAACCAAAAAUCUCUCCCUAGCACCACAAUCAUCUUUUGCUGGCUGCUAAGAACCCUUGCUCUGAAAACAAUAACCAACCACCAUAAAAACAGUAGGUCUGCCUUCUCUGUCUACGCAUGUACUGUGUAGGUGCUUUAGGGAGAGCCCCAGAGGCCAGGGAGGACACCAGCUAAGAUGGGACAGAAUGAGGAUUAUUAUUAGUUCUAAAUAAUUCCAAUACUCAUGUUCUUUUUUAUUAUUCCCUUUCCCACUCUUUUCUAAUUAUUCUAAAGUAACAUUUACUUCAUUUUCUAUUACCGAAAGAACGUGUGCGCAAAUAGAAAACAGAAAAUGUAGAAAUGUAUGAAGACAAAAGAACCACCAAGACAAAUAAACCAAACCCAGGGUCGUUAGCAGUUCCUCCUUGCCAAGAUAAAAUGUGAACAUUUUAGUUCCUCUCCUUUCCAUCUUGUUCUUUGUGUGUGUCCAUGCCUUCACACACACACACACACACACACACACACACACACACACACGUGUAAAAUGGGGAUUACAUUGUAUAUUCUUUUUUGUUUCCAGCUUUUUCCACUUAGCCAUAUAAUGUUAACAUUUCCCCACAUCAAUAAAGGAGCUUCAGUCCUGGGCUCAUUAACUCA